rnacentral:misc_RNA from 1 species
AACGCACCUUGCGCUCCUUGGUAUUCCGAGGAGCAUGCCUGUUUGAGUGUCAUGAAAUUCUCAACCUUUUCGGCUUUUUCUAAGUUGAUCAGGCUUGGAUGUGGGAGUUUGCGGGCUUCUCUGAAGUCGGCUCUCCUUAAAUUCAUUAGUAGGGACCUCUGUUGCCUUAGCUUUUGGUGUGAUAAUUAUCUACGCCAUCAUGUGAAGCAGCUUUAAAUUGGAGGUUACUGCUUUCUAACCGUCUCCCAUGGGACAUUUUCUGACAAUUUGACCUCAAAUCAGGUAGGACUACCCGCUGAACUUAA